UAAAUGCUACACAAUUUCUAAAGAUGCCAUAUUUUUAAUUUUUGUAUUGAUGUAGCAAUUGAAAUCAGCAAAAUAAUAAUCUUAGUACUCGCAAUUUUCGUGUAACGAUAGGGCGGUUCGGUUAAGUUGGUUACAUGAAAACACCGUUACUAACGCCUCGAGAAUUGAGACGACAAAAACCGGCUGCUGAAACCGUUGAUAAAUCACGUUCAGCGUCUGGGUUGCCCAUGUCAAGGGUGGCCUGAGGAAGCCGGAAAUCUCCGAGAAACCACCCGCCACUAUUCGACCUGGAUGAGUAAUCAAGCCUGAAUAAAUUAUGGUCUUGGACAAUGGGAUGAUACCACCGAAGAGCCGACGACGUAACGAAGGACCUUCAUAAGGGUUUUUUGUACGAUUUACAAGAAGACCGGUGUCCGUACUUAGACGGAAAACCGUAGAUCUUUUUCUUUCGCCGACUUUCGUUUUGUUGCGGUAAUAAAUUAUUGGAUGAAUUUUAUUACAGACAUUAAGUUACAAUUUCAAAACGAUGAAAUUGAUUCCGGAUAUAAAAAGUUCGGCGUAAACUUAAUAACCCAAUAACUUCAUUUGUUCUCUCUUCGAGAGAAUCUUGAAAAGUCGUCCCGUUUAGAACUUAAUUAACAAAAAAGGAUUCAAAUAGUUUAUUCCAAUGCGUUUCAUCAAGAAAGACGUUAUCGAUUUAAAAUAUAAGAGGCACGGUGGUUGGUUCAUCCAAUUACGAGAUUACGUGAUUAAGUGAGUAAUCAACUUAAUUGAUGAUGCAGUAAAGACUGGAUUCAUUACGUUGAAAAAAUUUCUAUAUAAUUUCCUUGCAAAGUCAUCGAAUAAACUGUUACUGCUUCAAGUUGUUUAACAUUCGCUGAGAAAUUCUCCGUUUUAUUUAACUUUGUGUUCCGUAUUUUCCGAAGGAAAAUAAUUUCAUUCUGUACUACAAAGAAUAUUGUUUAUUUUUUAUUAUAAAACUACUUUUGUGUAGAUAAACCUUUCCCACAGGCUUUUAUAGAUAUGAAACGAAUGCCUCCACAAACGGUAAAGUCAAAUAAAAUGUAACACAGAACUGCCUCGAUAGGAAAUUGUCAACCACAUCGUUCGAUACAACUAAUUUUCAAUAAUUCGUCCUCGAACGAGUCAUUUGAAAUGCAAGUCAGCGCAAAAUGGACGUGUUACCGCACUGGGUAAACCAUCAAUUCAUGCGUUCUAAAAUAUCUCGGACGGCAAUAAUUCAAAAUGGGUCGGUUAGUUUAGAACGUGAAUAUCAAAUAUUCAGACGUCGAUGUGGGUUCUCGCUUUCCACACAGAAAACACGACAGCUCUACGGGUGUUAAAUGAUACCCGUACAGUUUCCGGUUGUUGGGGGUUUCUUUGAAUUGCGCAGUUAACCCUAGAUGCCGUGAAUAAGUAAUCUAGACGACCUUGUUGAGGAUAAUUACUACAUUGCGGCGAUAUUCAUCCAUAAUUGAUUGCAUACGAUGGUCUUAACGAGUUUAUUAUGGAUAUUGAUCGGCAGUAUGUACGAUAAAUUUGUUUAGGUGAAGAGGGGUUUGAUAUGACAUCAAACACACGCGGCAUGUGAAACUACCUACAGUAAUUUGAAGUUAAAUUGACUCUUGAUAUCAGCUUGAAACUUAUUUGAAUUUACUAUUCGAUAAAUUAAUAUUGGUUAAUAAUUUAGCGAGUUUAGCCUCAAAAAGGAAAGUUUAAAUUACAGGUUUCUAUUUUUAAAUUCGUUAUUUGAGAGAGAGCGAAACGCCAAUAAAGACAGAUGUCAAACUAUUAUGUUUACGUUAAGAAACUACUAAAGAUUUAAGUCUGUCAAUAAUAAUCGAUAGAUUCUUAAUUAAAAUGAAAGUAAUAUUGUUAUCGCGUAAUUUUGAUUCUUCAACUGACUUGUUAUGUGUAACUCAAUUCGAUUGGAAGGUCCCUCUUAGGAAUGGCAAAUAGACAGAAAUCCGGAAAGCUUCGGUUCGGAUUAUUAUUCUUCAAUUGGAUCUUGUAAAUUUUUAAGUCAAAAAGAAAUCUUGAUUUGACGUUAAAUCUGCAUUGCAAUUAUCGAAGAACCAAUUUAAGCCGUCCAUUGGAGGUUUCAAGAUUCUCCAACCACAAAAGAAGUUUGAAUUUAACAAAUUUUAAAUCCAAUUUUAAAGUUAAUCCUUAUAAGUGACAAGAAACUCUACCCUACCUGAAGAUUAUCUGGGCUCUUAGCGGUGACGGCAAAGAGAUGAGGGU